GUUUUGGGUUCGGGUCCCGUUCGAUUUCAGUUCACCUCGGUCAACAUCCGUUCCGGUUCAGUUCAACUUUCAGAUCUGUUGGUUCGGGUCUCGACAUCAGUUAGUUCAUUGUUCGGUUCCAGUUCUUGUCUCGGUUCAGUUUUGCCUCGGGUCUCGGUUCAAGAUUCGGGCUUUAUUCCGUUCGGGUCAACUCGGUCAAAAGGUCAAACUCGGUCAACUUUAACGCAAGACUCGGAGUCGCAAUCGUAACCACUCAUAAUCUCGAGACUACGGAGUUCCAUCCUUCCCAUCUCAUACACUCGUCAACACUUGGAUAAU